rnacentral:rRNA from 1 species
CCUACGGGUGGCUGCAGUGGGGAAUAUUGCACAAUGGGGGGAACCCUGAUGCAGCGACGCCGCGUGGGUGAGGAAGUACUUCGGUAUGUAAAGCCCUAUCAGCAGGGAAGAAAAUGACGGUACCUGACUAAGAAGCCCCGGCUAACUACGUGCCAGCAGCCGCGGUAAUACGUAGGGGGCAAGCGUUAUCCGGAUUUACUGGGUGUAAAGGGAGCGUAGAUGGCGUGCCAAGUCUGGUGUGAAAGGCCGGGGCUCAACCCCGGGACUGCAUUGGAAACUGGCAUGCUGGAGUGCCGGAGGGGUAAGCGGAAUUCCUGGUGUAGCGGUGAAAUGCGUAGAUAUUAGGAGGAAUACCGAUGGCGAAGGCGGCUUACUGGACUGUAAAUGACGCUGAGGCUCGAAAGCGUGGGGAGCAAACAGGAUUAGAUACCCCAGUAGUC